rnacentral:rRNA from 1 species
GGGGUAUAGUAGCAAUACUAGAGACCGGCGCACGGGUGCGUAACGCGUAUGCAACCUACCUUGAACAGGGGAAUAGCCCAGAGAAAUUUGGAUUAAUGCCCCAUGGUAUUUUGAGAUGGCAUCAUCUUAUUAUUAAAGAUUCAUCGGUUCAAGAUGGGCAUGCGUCCCAUUAGUUAGUUGGUAAGGUAACGGCUUACCAAGACAAUGAUGGGUAGGGGUCCUGAGAGGGAGAUCCCCCACACUGGUACUGAGACACGGACCAGACUCCUACGGGAGGCAGCAGUGAGGAAUAUUGGUCAAUGGGCGCAAGCCUGAACCAGCCAUGCCGCGUGCAGGAUUAAGGCCCUAUGGGUUGUAAACUGCUUUUAUACGGGAAGAAACAACGAUUCGUGAAUCGUCUUGACGGUACCGUAAGAAUAAGGAUCGGCUAACUCCGUGCCAGCAGCCGCGGUAAUACGGAGGAUCCAAGCGUUAUCCGGAAUCAUUGGGUUUAAAGGGUCCGUAGGCGGGCCUGUAAGUCAGUGGUGAAAUCUCCCCGCUCAACGGGGAAACGGCCAUUGAUACUGCAGGCCUUGAAUUAUUGGGAAGUAACUAGAAUAUGUAGUGUAGCGGUGAAAUGCUUAGAUAUUACAUGGAAUACCGAUUGCGAAGGCAGGUUACUAUCAAUACAUUGACG